UACGAAGGGGGCUAGCGUUGUUCGGAGUUACUGGGCGUAAAGGGCGCGUAGGCGGCGCACCAAGUCAGGCGUGAAAGCCCUGGGCUCAACCCGGGAAUUGCGCUUGAGACUGGUGUGCUUGAGUACGGGAGAGGAUAGUGGAAUUCCCAGUGUAGAGGUGAAAUUCGUAGAUAUUGGGAAGAACACCGGUGGCGAAGGCGGCUCACUGGACCGCAACUGACGCUGAGGCGCGAAAGCUAGGGGAGCAAACAGG
rnacentral:rRNA from 1 species